CCUACGGGUGGCUGCAGUGGGGAAUAUUGGACAAUGGGCGAAAGCCUGAUCCAGCCAUGCCGCGUGUGUGAAGAAGGCCUUCGGGUUGUAAAGCACUUUCAGUGGGGAAGAAAGCCUUGGGGCUAAUACCCUCGAGGAAGGACAUCACCCACAGAAGAAGCACCGGCUAACUCCGUGCCAGCAGCCGCGGUAAUACGGAGGGUGCGAGCGUUAAUCGGAAUUACUGGGCGUAAAGCGCGCGUAGGCGGUCUGAUAAGCCGGUUGUGAAAGCCCCGGGCUCAACCUGGGAACGGCAUCCGGAACUGUCAGGCUAGAGUGCAGGAGAGGAAGGUAGAAUUCCCGGUGUAGCGGUGAAAUGCGUAGAGAUCGGGAGGAAUACCAGUGGCGAAGGCGGCCUUCUGGACUGACACUGACGCUGAGGUGCGAAAGUGUGGGUAGCAAACAGGAUUAGAUACCCGGGUAGUC
rnacentral:rRNA from 1 species